CGUGAGAUGUUGGGUUAAGUCCCGCAACGAGCGCAACCCUCGCCCCGUGUUGCCAGCGGAUUAUGCCGGGAACUCACGGGGGACCGCCGGGGUUAACUCGGAGGAAGGUGGGGAUGACGUCAGAUCAUCAUGCCCCUUACGUCCAGGGCUUCACGCAUGCUACAAUGGCCGGUACAACGGGAUGCGACGCGGCGACGCGGAGCGGAUCCCUGAAAACCGGUCUCAGUUCGGAUCGCAGUCUGCAACUCGACUGCG
rnacentral:rRNA from 1 species